CUAGAGAAACUGCAGCCAAUUUGCAGCCAUGAACAUUUUAUACUGUUUCACUGCUGUAAUUUUCUUCUUCUUCCAUGCUGCUCAGGAAGACCAAUUUAUAGAAGCCAUUCUACUUACCUGUGCAUCAAUGGGUGGAUUCUGCAUUCUACAACCCAAUGAGACCUGUCCUUCAGGUGUCUUCCUGGAUGUGCCUUGUCAUUUCAGAAGAAGAUGUUGUUCAAAGACUGAUGUUUAACUCUCAUUUUUAUGUGCUUAUUGGAUAAAUAACCAAUGGAAUGCCCUGCUAUAGCUUUCAUCUGUUCCACUAGUUAGCUGUAGCUGAUUUGUCAUGGUAUUUUCUACUUGUGAUAGGUAACUAAGUUAAUCAGUCAAGCUUCUCCAGAAUUUGGACAGUAAUCAUUCAAAAUUUCUCUUGUGUAUAUGCUAUGUCCCACUUUGCUAUUACCAUUGACAACUCUAUUUCUUUUGCCACAGCUACGUUUAUAUCUCCAGGUCCCCCACUACUUAUUUAAAGAUCCAUAAUUCAUUUGGAUGGAAUCCUAAUGUGCAAUGACAACAAAGAGAAAAAAUAGGAUCUCCUCAAUGAAAAAACUGAAAGCAGAUAACUUUUUUUUCCAAAUUAAGGAAAUUAAAUUGUCGGUGCUGAAUUCUGAGGAAAAUAAAAGUUGAAAGUUAAAGUCAUAAAACGAGAAAAAGAAAACAGAACAUCUCUCCAGGAAUCAGGAAAGGACAAGUCCCUAUUGGGGGGGGGGGGAAUCUGUCCAUAGUUUUCUGAUACUAUUUUAUUAUUUCAGCUUACUGCUUUAUGGACCACUGGAAGGGAUCCCAUUUGCCCCAUCAACUAGAUUUAAAUUAGUACCUCAUCUCCAACUAUAUGGGUUUGUAGAAGAAUGCCAUUUUGCCCCCAAAAGAUGGCAAUUCUAUAGAUUUCACUGAAUAUGAGGGAGAAAAUAAUUCAGUUUUGGUCAUAAAAGUAAAAAUAUAACACAAUGCCAUCAUUUUUGCUUGAUUAAAAUAUUGGGAACAUUACUCUGUAUUGAACAGUCAGUAUUUUAAUUUGACCUAGUAGGUAUAUUUUAUGAGAAAUUUUGGAAAUGCAUAGAUCAGAUAAUGUUGAUGUAGCAUGUUAAUGUAGUUUUACAUAUUUAUGUGGAUUGAUUGAAUUUAUUUUCUUGCUAUUUUUGAAAUAAAAAUUAUAAUGGGAAGCUGAAA